rnacentral:ncRNA from 1 species
GAUGACGAACACGGGAGUCCCGGGCGCGGCGGGGCUGAGAGUGGGCCACCGACCCGGCCCUGACCGUCACACCUGAUCCGGGUCAUGCCGGCGAAGGGAGCAGUGAAUGCCCAACA